rnacentral:tRNA from 1 species
UAGCCUAGUGGUAAAGGCUAUGGAUCGCCAAUCCGGAGACAGCGGGUUCGAUUCCCGU